ensembl:rRNA 5S_rRNA 5S ribosomal RNA
UGUAGCAGCCAUAUCACCCUGUAGCCCAAGACGAGUUGCCCACUGAAGCUAAGCAGGGCUGAGCCUGGUCACUACCUAGAUGGGAGACCUCCUGAGAAAACUAGGUUGCUGUUGGAA